rnacentral:rRNA from 1 species
UGGGGAAUUUUCCGCAAUGGGCGCAAGCCUGACGGAGCAACGCCGCGUGAGGGAGGAAUGUCUGUGGAUUGUAAACCUCUUUUCUCUGGGAAGAAGUACUGACGGUACCAGAGGAAUCAGCAUCGGCUAACUCCGUGCCAGCAGCCGCGGUAAGACGGAGGAUGCAAGCGUUAUCCGGAAUUAUUGGGCGUAAAGCGUCCGUAGGCGGUUACGUAAGUCAGUUGUUAAAGACUGCAGCUCAACUGUGGAGGAGCAACUGAAACUGUGUGACUAGAGUAUGGUAGGGGUGGAGGGAAUUCCUAGUGUAGCGGUGAAAUGCGUAGAUAUUAGGAAGAACACCAGUGGCGAAGGCGCUCUGCUGGGCCAAGACUGACGCUGAUGGACGAAAGCUAGGGGAGCGAAAGGGAUUAGAUACCCGUGUAGUCC